AUCGAACGCUGGCGGAAUGCUUUACACAUGCAAGUCGAACGGCAGCACGGACUUCGGUCUGGUGGCGAGUGGCGAACGGGUGAGUAAUGUAUCGGAACGUGCCCAGUCGUGGGGGAUAACGUAGUGAAAAUUACGCUAAUACCGCAUACGAUCUAUGGAUGAAAGCGGGGGAUCGCAAGACCUCGCGCGAUUGGAGCGGCCGAUAUCAGAUUAGGUAGUUGGUGGGGUAAAGGCCCACCAAGCCAACGAUCUGUAGCUGGUCUGAGAGGACGACCAGACACACGGGAAUUGAGACUCGGUCCAGACUCCUACGGGAGGCAGCAGUGGGGAAUUUUGGACAAUGGGCGCAAGCCUGAUCCAGCCAUUCCGCGUGCAGGAUGAAGGCCCUCGGGUUGUAAACUGCUUUUGUACGGAACGAAACGGCUCUCUCUAAUACAGGGGGCUAAUGACGGUACCGUAAGAAUAAGCACCGGCUAACUACGUGCCAGCAGCCGCGGUAA
rnacentral:rRNA from 1 species